GAAAGAAGCAGAUAUUGCAGGCUGGGCUGUCCUUAUAACUACUUAGACUAAACAUUGACUCUUCUCUUUCAACUCCAGAGACUGAGGCUGUGAUUUUCCAUGAAGCUUCUGGGGAACAGAGCUGGAUGCUUAAGGUCCCAUCUUUCAAACUCACUGCAAACGGUCAACGGAAUUGCAGUGAAAUAUAGCAGGGACAGGCUACUGAGCAGUACUACCAAAGCUCCCACUGAAUUUAAAGGCAUGUCUGGUACAAACAGCAGUUGCUACUGGAUAUACGUGCGUCACUGGUGGUUUUCCUGCACAAUUUAUUGUAAGCAGAACACAUUUUACUGUCUGUGACGAAUAACAGAAAGUAACUGGCAGGAUGAAUCUGCUGUGGGUUCAGGUCCUUGCCUUGCUGCUGCCAAGGAAAGCAGAGGUAGAUGAAAAAGCUGCAAAGCUUUUCCCUCCAACUGCUCCAUGAUCUUCUACUGAGCUACAGACUGGAAGAGCAAACUGGAGAACACAGUCUCACAUCAAGGAGUAGCAAAACUCUGAAAGUUAGCUUUAGAUCUGUUAGUUUACAGCAAAUAAAAAUGUUUAUAUGCAUAAAAACA
ensembl:lncRNA